UGGGGGGUAAAAGAAACGCAACCCUCUCCAACGAACAGAUAAAGGAACCGGUGCUGUCACUUGCCUACGCUGCGAUUGCGAAGCAGAAAAGAAAUUCAAACCGCGACCGCGGCCCUGACCCGGUUUCUAGAAGCCCCUUUGCUCCUGGAAUUUGUAAACGCUUAAGUAAAUAAACCGCAAACCAGAAAAAUAAGACUUUCGGAGAGAGCUGCUCACACUGAGAUGCUUGCGUCUAGGCGAGGCGUGCUCCUAGACUUCAUCCGCUGCAUCUGGGGUGAAGGGGUUUUCAACCCACCCCCAGUAGUAUCUAGGGCUCCAGCUGCAAAGUGCUUAGGGCUUUGACUUUUGGAAGAAGUCCUUAGAUCCCAGGCCAAAUCGUCCUCCUCUCUCCUUCCCUGCCCCACACCCCAAAACCAGAUUACAACGUAUUCAUUCCACAAACGUUACCCAAGUGUCAUCUGGUGCCAGGCCAGGAACUGUGCCAGGGACCUUUGACUCUACCUUCCAAGCAAUCCCAGCAAAUUGGUCCAUGAUGAUCUAACUGGUGAAGGCAGAGAGGGUUAACUUCAUGAGCAUCUUCCUGGGAAACAAUGGAGUUGUGAUAUGGGUGUCCAAAAGAAUACUUUUGGAACGGAACAGAUAAUAUCUUUAAAGAUGGAUGUUUGUGUACCUUUUGUAACUCUAACCUGGAACUGAACAAAGAGGAGGUGUUCAGCACUUACUGGAUCAUGAAUUCUUGGGACUCCAUGAAUGGCCAGAAGAGAUGAUGACCUGAAGACACUCCACAACCUGCAUGAGAUGGAAAAGUAGAGCUGAUCCUGGGACUCAAACUCAAGCACAUCAACAGCAAGCACGCUUAUUUACCUCCUCCGCCAUCUCACUGGCCCAAGCAGGGUUUGACUGUAUAGUUCUGACUGAAGUGGAACUCAGCGAAAGUCACAAAGACUCACCUGCUUCUGCCUCCUUGAUACUGGAACUAAAGGUAUGCCCCACCAUGUCUGGCUAAACUAAAGGUGUGCCGCGCCAUGUCUGAAGAGGAGAUUCAAGUCAGGGAUGGCUUGAAUGUAGCUGGAAUCCCAGAACUCAGGGAAGACUAGGGAGGAGGGUCCUGAGUUCAAGGCCAGUCUUGCCGAAAUACUGUCUCAAAAGAAUGAAAAAAUACUCAAAAAUAAAAAUGUUAGGAAUUUCAGUAAUUCUACUGUACCUGCUUUUUUCAAUAAAGUGUGAAAAAGCUAGCAUGUAAGGGCUGGGGUGAUAGCUCAUUGGUAAGCUCAUCUGGUAAGCUCAGAGAUUUAAAUUUUAUCCCCAGAAUCCACAUAAAAAAUUCAGUUAAGUAACACAUAUUCAUAAUACCAGUCCUAGGGGGGUAAAGACAGGAGGAUCCCUGGGCCAGGUGCUCAGGCAGCUACUGUGAGAUUUUUCAGGACAAAGACAGAACAGAGCCUAAGGAAAGACACCGGAGGUUGUUCCGUGCCCUCCCCACCACAUUCACACAGGAACCAUCCACAGAAGAACUGCACCCUUGAACAUGCAGUCACACAUGCACGCACGCUUGCACGCACACAGUAUUGGAAUGAGAAGCCAAGCUUGGGCUCAGUUCAUCAGCUCUUAGACCACUGGAAAUCUAAACUACUAAACUAACUUCCCAGCCCUUCCGGUUCUGCCCAUUCUCCCCCGAAAGAUGAGAUGGGAUUAACGUUCUGAUGCUGCUUGUGUCACUGCGUCGCUAUUAUCACAUUGUAACGAAUUGGACUUUCUAUUACAGCAGCAUUUUAUCCCCCUGCCUUAUUUGCUUGACCAUCAGGAUGGCCAGUCCUCACCAUGAAAACUUUCCACAAGGGAUCACAGGACCGCUCUUCUUUCCCAGUGACCCAGGCAAAGAAUCCCUCACAGUCACAAGAAAAUGGAGUCUUCCCAGGGCGGCGUCUUUUUUUGUUCACAUAAUGGUGAUAUCAAUUUAUUUUUUAUUCUAGAACAGGAAAACAAAGAGAGCCUAAACCCGGACUUUCUUGCUAGAUUUCCCAAAGGAGUGUGGCACAGUUCCUUUUUCUUCUCUGCAAUUAUGUUCAGAUUAAUUUGCUCCUGGCCCAGUUGACAUCUAUUCAUUUCUGCAGCCACUGCAUCACACCCCAAAUGAACUUCCUCUUUCUAUUGUUGGACAAGUUUUCACAAAAUAGUUACAAACUUUCUGCUUCCGCUUUAUUCAGUGGCGUGUGUCAAGCGUUUUCUCCAGACUCUUUCCUCUGGCGUCUCCCUGAGGAAAGCGAAGUGACAAUCCAUUAUGGGCAGAGCUUUCUGACUUAUGGGGAGGAGCAGACGGGGAGGACACAUUUACUAACUGUCUUUGGCAUGCCAGAUGACAGUGCAUCUAAGGCCUUUUAGGGUUCUUCACACUAAGUGAUUUUUUUAUUGGUCAUAUCAACACAUUAGAUACAUUAGAUCAACACUAGAGAACAUUUAUUUUAAAUUUUAUUUUUAUUUGUGGAUGUGUGUGUGUCUGUGUGUGUGUGCAUGUUCACACGUCACAGCAAGUGUGCCAAGGGUCAGAGAACAACUUUGUAGAGUAGGUUUUUUCCUUCCACUAUUAUGUGGGUUCCAGGGAUCUAACUCAGGCUAUCCUGGGUUCACAGUAAGUGCCUUUACCAACUGAGCCAUCUUACCAGCCAUAGAAACAAUGUAUUAAGGUCUCACAGUUUGCUAAGCACUCCAUAUAGAUCACCCUGCUGAAUCUUAUCACCAUCCUCAUAGAUGGGUUUAUUACCUCCUUUGAUAGAUGAAGAAGUUAAGUUCUAAAUUUCAAAGAAAUUGCUGAAGAUCAUUCAAUUGAAAGUAGUGAAGAUUGAUUGACUCCUGAGGAAUACCUUGGGUUCUCACAGUGCAGCCCUCAGAUCAGCAUCCUCAGCAUGGCCUGUCCCCCAGGAAAUUGCUAGAAAUGCAAAUUCUCUACUGUACUUCAGAUGGAUGGAGUCAGAAGUCCCAGGCCAGGGAUGGCAGGUGAGAAGCAAUCUGUGUUUUAACCAGUCCUGCAGGUACCUCUGAUGGAUGCUAGCGUCAAAGACUCAACUGUGCUUUGCUUUCUAUAUACAAAGGCAUCACACUUGUUAUUAGGAAACUGUGAAGACCACCUGGGAAAUGACUUCAGAAGUUUCAACUGAAUGGCCAGGAACUGGGGAGAUCCUGUGGCUUUCUGCUGUGGAAUAAUCCUUUUGUAUUCUGUAAAGAUUUGUCACUUGAAUUGGCUUAAUAAAACGCUGACUGGUCAGUAGCUGACAGGAAAUGUAGGCAAGACAACCAAACUAAGGUUGCUGGGAUGAUGAUGGGUGGAGUCAGAGGAGUUGCCAGACAGACGCAGAAUGAGUCAGACAUACAAACUGGGAUAAAGAUAAAAGCCACAUGGCAGAAUGUAGAUUAAUAAAAAUGGGUUAAUUUAAGUUGCAAGAGCUAACUAGUAAUAAU